UCAGACAGAGGAGCUGUGCCUAUAAAAGACCAGCUUGGUUGUUUGGGAGUCAAAGCUGGGCUGGGCUGGGCUGGGCUGGGCUGGGCUGGGCUGGGCUGGGCUGUGGUGAGGAGAGUGCUGUGUUUGGGAUUUUUGAUUCAAACCAUUGAUGUUGACUAUGACUCUUGGCGUGACAGUCAGGUUGCUUUGGAUAUGCCUUUUCCUAAGUGAAAUAUGCUGUCAGCAACGUCAACAAGGGCUGGAAGGUCCCCAGAGAUUUGGGAACUAUAAAUACAAUCCUAGGCCUG
rnacentral:lncRNA from 1 species